GCUCCCAUGUAUGGACUGAUGUUUUGAUCCACCUGCUUCUCUGUAACCUGUGGGUGAAUCUCUCCAUCUCCUCUGGAAGCAGAGCAGUCUGAUGAAGGGGCCUGACAGAUGGUAAGUCCUUCUGUUUCAGUAUAAAGAUUUUGUGCUGGAGGGAAAGGACCCAGCAUUAAUGUGAGCUCCUCUUCUCCCUCUUUCAUGUGCAGAAAUAAUUGAUCUUGCCUCUGCUGAGCCUCUGAGUUGGGACUCUUCUCCGGCUGUGAGCUGAAAGAUGAAAGAGGAAGAAUCAUUUCUUCUGAGAAUUCAGAACUUGCUCCCUGCCCCAGUGAAGGAAACUGUCAUAAAGAAAACAACGCAUAAGAGACCAG
ensembl:lncRNA